CGAGUGGCGGACGGGUGAGUAAUGUCUGGGAAACUGCCUGAUGGAGGGGGAUAACUACUGGAAACGGUAGCUAAUACCGCAUAACGUCGAAAGACCAAAGAGGGGGGACCUUCGGGCCUCUUGCCAUCGGAUGUGCCCAGAUGGGAUUAGCUUGUUGGUGGGGGUAAUGGCUCACCAAGGCGACGAUCCCUAGCUGGUCUGAGAGGAUGACCAGCCACACUGGAACUGAGACACGGUCCAGACUCCUACGGGAGGCAGCAUG
rnacentral:rRNA from 1 species